GUGCUUGCUUCGGCAGCACAUACACUAAGAUUAGAAUGAUACAGAGAAGAUUAGCAUGGCCUCUGCACAGGGAUGACAUGCAAAUCCGUGAAGCGUUCCGCUCCAAA
ensembl:snRNA U6 U6 spliceosomal RNA